AACGAACGCUGGCGGCAUGCCUAACACAUGCAAGUCGAACGAGACCUUCGGGUCUAGUGGCGCACGGGUGCGUAACGCGUGGGAACCUGCCCUUAGGUUCGGAAUAACUCCCCGAAAGGGGUGCUAAUACCGGAUAAUGUCUUCGGACCAAAGAUUUAUCGCCUUUGGAUGGGCCCGCGUUGGAUUAGCUAGUUGGUAGGGUAAAAGACUACCAAGGCGACGAUCCAUAGCUGGUCUGAGAGGAUGAUCGGCCACACUGGGACUGAGACACGGCCCAGACUCCUACGGGAGGCAGCAGUGGGGAAUAUUGGACAAUGGGCGAAAGCCUGAUCCAGCAAUGCCGCGUGAGUGAUGAAGGCCUUAGGGUUGUAAAGCUCUUUUACCCGGGAUGAUAAUGACAGUACCGGGAGAAUAAGCUCCGGCUAACUCCGUG
rnacentral:rRNA from 1 species